CGCCGAAAGUGCGCUUGCGCCCGCCUUGCGGACAUUCUCUCGCCUCCAGAUACAUCGACAGAUCUUGUGCGUGUCAUUAAUCGCAAGGUGGUCGCGUAGGCGUUAUAUUCAGGUGAGAUAUUAAAUGGAAAAGAUACUCACUGCUGUUCUGAACUUGUCUGAACUGAAUUUGCCUGAACCUGAUCGGUAAUUUGAGAAAUUAUAGGAAGAAAUAAAGAUCAAUGGCAUUCAUUACAUAAAGAAGAAAUCAAGAAAAAUAGAGUUGCUUAUAUGAUAUAUAAAUGAUUCAACGACAUUGCGAAUAACGAAAGGGAAAUGAAUAUAUGGAUGCGUCACUAAUAUGCAUAUAUUUUGACAUACAUACAUAUGCAUAAUAUUCUUUUAAAUUCUAUUAUAUAUGUACAAACAGUUUGCUCUACGUUGGACAAAUAAAUUAGAUUAAAUGCAGU